rnacentral:tRNA from 1 species
GGCCCGUUGGUCUAGGGGUAUGAUUCCUGCUUUGGGUGCAGGAGGUCCCGGGUUCAAAUCCCGCACGGGCCC